AUUGAACGCUGGCGGCAUGCCUUACACAUGCAAGUCGAACGGCAGCACGGGAGCAAUCCUGGUGGCGAGUGGCGAACGGGUGAGUAAUAUAUCGGAACGUGCCCAGUCGUGGGGAUAACGUAGCGAAAGCUACGCUAAUACCGCAUACGAUCUAUGGAUGAAAGCGGGGGAUCGCAAGACCUCGCGCGAUUGGAGCGGCCGAUAUCAGAUUAGGUAGUUGGUGAGGUAAAGGCUCACCAAGCCGACGAUCUGUAGCUGGUCUGAGAGGACGACCAGCCACACUGGGACUGAGACACGGCCCAGACUCCUACGGGAGGCAGCAGUGGGGAAUUUUUGGACAAUGGCGCAAGCCUGAUCCAGCAAUGCCGCGUGCAGGAUGAAAGGCCUCGGUGUAAC
rnacentral:rRNA from 1 species